AACGAACGCUGGCGGCAUGCCUAACACAUGCAAGUCGAACGAGACCUUCGGGUCUAGUGGCGCACGGGUGCGUAACGCGUGGGAACCUGCCCUUAGGUUCGGAAUAACUCCCCGAAAGGGGUGCUAAUACCGGAUAAUGUCUUCGGACCAAAGAUUUAUCGCCUUUGGAUGGUCCCGCGUUGGAUUAGCUAGUUGGUAGGGUAAAAGCCUACCAAGGCGACGAUCAAUAGCUGGUCUGAGAGGCUGAUCAGCCACACUGGGACUGAGACACGGCCCAGACUCCUACGGGAGGCAGCAGUGGGGAAUAUUGGACAAUGGGCGAAAGCCUGAUCCAGCAAUGCCGCGUGAGUGAUGAAGGCCUUAGGGUUGUAAAGCUCUUUUACCCGGGAUGAUAAUGACAGUACCGGGAGAAUAAGCUCCGGCUAACUCCGUG
rnacentral:rRNA from 1 species